GCACCGCCUACGUCACGACGUCGCGCGCCCUCCCGGCGCGGCCACUGGCGCCUCGCGCGGAGCCUACGUCAUGGCGUCGCGCAUGCGCACAGGCGACCCCGGAAGCCCCCCCCCCACCGCGACGCCUUCUGGGACUCGUAGUUCCAGCGCUGGGCGGAGCCCCCGCCGUUCCGUCACCUCGAGCCGUGAAGAGUUUAAAAUAAGUUGUUAAGGGUGCAGACACUCCAAUGAUAAAAUGUUAUGAUUCCUGGCUUUCACCAGUUUCUUCUUCUUGAAGAACAAGACCCCAGUGCAUCAGGGCAGAUGCCAACAACUCUCUUCCAGAGGCAGUGCUGUCUCAUCAGUUUGGAGAGACAAAGAAAGUGUCCCCUGGGCACACCUUGCUCAGAGUAGGUGCCCCACCACGUGCCCUGGAAGCCCAAGGUUUUGUAUCUCCAGCUCCUGGAACAAAGUUCAGCACAGAGCUGGGACUCUUUGAAUAUUUACUGAGUGAACAAACGCGCGAUUAUCCCUAAUUGAUAGCUGAGGAAACCAAGUCUCGGAGAGAUUGCAUACCUCACUGAAAAUGACAAGGCUGGAUGGUCAUGCAGGCAGGCUACAGGAAUGACAUACUGGGCUGAUUUCUCCGUGAGAGGGUAAUAUUUUGAAGUACAAGGAGUCUGAUUUGCAAAGUAGCGUGGGACUCUAAAAAUGACUGCCCCAAGUUGAAAACAUGCAAAACCACCUUAGUCAGUGCGUGGGGGAGGUUUGCAGGAUAUCAUUAACAUACUAAAAGCCACUGAAGUGUACACUUUAAAAAUGGUUAAGGUGGUGAAUUGUAUGUUAUGUGAACUUUGUCCCAAUAGAAAUUGUUUAAUGAACAAGUGAUAGAAAAAAAAAAAAUCAGUGGGGAAAGUGUGAUUGUUCUAUGACCUUCAAAACAUUAACAA